rnacentral:rRNA from 1 species
CGUNCANGGGUAAACCUGCGAAACUCGAAUGAACGAACGGGGAGAUUCAUCGUCAUUCGACGGACGGCGUUGCGAUUGUGCGAUGCGUAGCCUGCCGGCGAUUUCGGUCGUCGGUGUUAGCUGCGCACGUGCAUCGUUACGUAUCAGCGUCCGUCGACGGCGUGCACUUCUCCCUUAGUACUGCAUCGCGACCCGCUCGGAGCGGCCUAAGCGCUUUUCUGGAGCCCGCGGCGCCUCACGGCGCCGCGGACCGUGAUUGUUGCCGGCCGUCUGUCGGGCGGUAGUUGACAUGAAACGCGCACGCGCUCGUCGCGUCCGGCCCGACGCAAGGUCGUCGCGACGCCGCUGUUACGCCUAUGUGCGUUCAGUGUGCGUCCGGCGCCUGCCCAUCGCUGCCGUGCCGUCUCGGACGUGCGUGUAUCGAGUCUGCGAUGUCUUUGUUUCGGGCACUCGCAGGACCCGUCUUGAAACACGGACCAAGGAGUCUAGCAUGUGUGCGAGUCACUAGGUGCUCGUACUAAACCGAAAGGCGUAACGAAAGUGAAGGCGCGCGCUCGACGCGCGCUCUGGGAGGAUGACGACGGCACUCGUGGUCGACGUCCGCACUCCCGAGGCGUCCCGUUCGCAAUCUGUCGAUGUGGGCGCGCUCAGAGCACAGAUGCUGGGACCCGAAAGAUGGUGAACUAUGCCUGGUCAGGUCGAAGUCAGGGGAAACCCUGAUGGAGGACCGUAGCGAUUCUGACGUGCAAAUCGAUCGUCGGAACUGGGUAUAGGGGCGAAAGACUAAUCRACAC